UACGAAGGGGGCUAGCGUUGUUCGGAUUUACUGGGCGUAAAGCGCACGUAGGCGGAUCGUUAAGUCAGGGGUGAAAUCCUGGAGCUCAACUCCAGAACUGCCUUUGAUACUGAAAAGCUUGAGUCCGGGAGAGGUGAGUGGAACUGCGAGUGUAGAGGUGAAAUUCGUAGAUAUUCGCAAGAACACCAGUGGCGAAGGCGGCUCACUGGCCCGGUACUGACGCUGAGGAGCGAAAGCAUGGGGAGCGAACAGG
rnacentral:rRNA from 1 species